GAGUUUGAUCGUGGCUCAGGUUGAACGCUGGCGGCAUGCCUUACACAUGCAAGUCGAACGGCAGCACGGGAGCUUGCUCCUGGUGGCGAGUGGCGAACGGGUGAGUAAUGCAUCGGAACGUAUCCUGGAGUGGGGGAUAACGUAGCGAAAGUUACGCUAAUACCGCAUAUUCUGUGAGCAGGAAAGCGGGGGACCUUCGGGCCUCGCGCUCUUGGAGCGGCCGAUGUCGGAUUAGCUAGUUGGUGAGGUAAAGGCUCACCAAGGCGGCGAUCCGUAGCAGGUCUGAGAGGAUGAUCUGCCACACUGGAACUGAGACACGGUCCAGACUCCUACGGGAGGCAGCAGUGGGGAAUUUUGGACAAUGGGGGCAACCCUGAUCCAGCCAUGCCGCGUGAGUGAAGAAGGCC
rnacentral:rRNA from 1 species